rnacentral:rRNA from 1 species
GGCGAACGGGUGAGUAAUGCGUCGGAACGUGCCCAAUCGUGGGGGAUAACGUAGCGAAAGUUACGCUAAUACCGCAUACGAUCUAAGGAUGAAAGCGGGGGAUCGCAAGACCUCGCGCGAAUGGAGCGGCCGAUGUUAGAUUAGGUAGUUGGUGGGGUAAAGGCUCACCAAGCCGACGAUCUAUAGCUGGUCUGAGAGGAUGAUCAGCCACACUGGGACUGAGACACGGCCCAGACUCCUACGGGAGGCAGCAGUGGGGAAUUUUGGACAAUGGGCGCAAGCCUGAUCCAGCCAUUCCGCGUGCAGGAUGAAGGCCCUCGGGUUGUAAACUGCUUUUGUACAGAACGAAAAGCUCUGGGUUAAUACCCUGGGGUCAUGACGGUACUGUAAGAAUAAGCACCGGCUAACUACGUGCCAGCAGCCGCGGUAAUACGUAGGGUGCAAGCGUUAAUCGGAAUUACUGGGCGUAAAGCGUGCGCAGGCGGUUAUGUAAGACAGAGGUGAAAUCCCCGGGCUCAACCUGGGAACUGCCUUUGUGACUGCAUAGCUAGAGUACGGCAGAGGGGGAUGGAAUUCCGCGUGUAGCAGUGAAAUGCGUAGAUAUGCGGAGGAACACCGAUGGCGAAGGCAAUCCCCUGGGCCUGUACUGACGCUCAUGCACGAAAGCGUGGGGAGCAAGCAGGAUUAGAUACCCUGGUAGUCCACGCCCU